GAGCGUAGGAUGCAAGCGUUGUCCGGAUUAUUGGGCGUAAAGAGUUCGUAGGCGGUUCGUUAAGUUCGACGUGUUAAAGACCGGGGCCCAACCCCGGGACUGCAUUGAAUACUGGCGGACUCGGAGUGCAGGUAGAGGGCAAAGAGGAAUUCCCAGUGUAGCGGUGAAAUGCGUAGAUAUUGGGAAGAACACCAGUGGCGUAAGCGGU
rnacentral:rRNA from 1 species